rnacentral:lncRNA from 1 species
UGGAGACGAGAUGGCCCCUGCUGGUGAGUCUCCUCCACUACUGGUUGAACCUUGGCCUGCCAGGCCGAUGAAGUCAAACUCAGUGCCCUCGUGUGAUUCCCUGCCAGGUAUCCUCAAAUCCAUCAUGAAGAAGAAAGAUGGUACUCCAGGUGCACAAUCCAGUCAGGGACCCAAGAGCCUGCAGUUCGUUGGGGUCCUCAACGGAGAGUGAGCGCUUUCUUCCCUUUCUUAUCAUAGCAGCCACAGGGACACAUGCUAUUAAUCCCAGCUCUGCCUCUCUGCUCAUAAAGUUGCUUUGAUAGCCCUUAAUUUCCUCAUCUUAAAAUGUCACUCUUACCUCAACACACUUGAAUGAGCCCACAGGGCCUCCCAUCCUAUUCUUAGGUAUGAGAGCUCCUCCAGUGAGGAUGCCAGCAACAGUGAUGAUGAAGAUGAUGUUGCUGAACUCCCCAGGAGUAGCUCUUCUGGGUCAGGAGAUGAUAGCAGUGGGGGAUCUGACGCUGGAACUCCUGGCCCCCACAAUGACCAAGAUGCGGGGGACUGUGAGCUUGAGAUGCAUCCAGAGCAGAAGACAGGGAGAGAAGGGAGGUGUGAACUGAACCCCCGUUUGAGGGAGGCUUGCAUUGCUCUGAAUCAGCAGCUGAUGCGGCCCCGUGGAGUCACCAGCAGAGAUGGUGUGAGUGUGGGUCCGACUUCUACUCCCUGACAAAGUUCAGGGUUUCCUAGAGCAGGAGUACUAAGUUUGGUCCCCUCUCACUAGAA